rnacentral:rRNA from 1 species
GUGAACGCUGGCGGCGUGCUUAACACAUGCAAGUCGAACGAGUAAGUGCUGUAGCAAUACAGAUUACUGCUAGUGGCAGACGGGUGAGUAAUACAUGGGAAUCUGCCUUGAAGUCCGGGAUAACUGUUGGAAACGACAGCUAAUACCGGAUAUUGCCGAGAGGUGAAAGAUUUAUCGCUUCAAGAUGAGCCCAUGCAAGAUUAGCUAGUUGGUGAGGUAAUGGCUCACCAAGGCGAAGAUCUUUAGCUGUUCUAAGAGGAUGAUCAGCCACACUGGAACUGAGACACGGUCCAGACUCCUACGGGAGGCAGCAGUGGGGAAUAUUGGACAAUGGGCGAAAGCCUGAUCCAGCGACGCCGCGUGAGUGAAGAAGGCCUUCGGGUUGUAAAGCUCUUUUAGUAGGGAAGAUAAUGACGGUACCUACAGAAAAAGCUCCGGCUAACUUCGU